UAAUACCGGAGCCUCAAGUGGUGAUCACGUUUAUUGGGCCUAAAGCAUCCGUAGCCGGAUUGUUAAGUUCUCUGUGAAAUCUAAUGGCUAAACUGUUAGGCGUGCAAAGAAUACUAACUAUCUUGAGACCGGGAGAAGCUAAGGGAAUGCUGGGAGGAGCGGUUAAAUGUUGUAAUCCUCGGUAGACCAUCAGUGGCGAAGGCGCUUAGCUAGAACGGGUCUGACGGUGUGGGAUGAAAGCUAGGGGAGCAAAGAGGAUUAGAUACCCUCGUAGUCCUAGCCGUAAACGCUGCCUGUUAGGUGCUGCGUAUUUUUCGGAAGUAUGCAGUAUCGUAGGGAAACUGUUAAACAGGCCGCCUGGGAAGUACGGUCGCAAGGCUG
rnacentral:rRNA from 1 species